AGUGGAAGAAAGUUUUAUUCUCUGAUGAGAAAAAAUUUAACCUUAACGGUCCUGACGGCUUCCAAUGUUACUGGCAUGACAAGGAGAUCGCACUUGAGAUGUUUUCUACGUGGCACAGUGGAGGCACCAUCAUGAUCUGGUUGUGCAGGGGGCCCUUGUCUGUGUGGUAA